UGGGGAAUCUUGCGCAAUGGGGGCAACCCUGACGCAGCCAUGCCGCGUGAAUGAUGAAGGCCUUAGGGUUGUAAAGUUCUUUUGCCCGUGACGAUGAUGACGGUAACGGGAGAAUAAGCUCCGGCUAACUUCGUGCCAGCAGCCGCGGUAAUACGAAGGGGGCUAGCGUUGUUCGGAAUUACUGGGCGUAAAGCGCGCGCAGGCGGUUCGAUAAGUUAGGGGUGAAAUCCCCGGGCUCAACCCGGGAAUGGCCUUUAAGACUGUCGAGCUAGAGGACGAGAGAGGUGAGUGGAAUUCCCAGUGUAGAGGUGAAAUUCGUAGAUAUUGGGAAGAACACCGGUGGCGAAGGCGGCUCACUGGCUCGUUUCUGACGCUGAGGCGCGAAAGCGUGGGGAGCAAACA
rnacentral:rRNA from 2 species